CCCUUCCAACAUGAAAGUCAGUGUCUGCCUAACAUAGAAGUGUGUUGUUUUUUUGUUUUUACCAUUUCUCUUUAAUUUUACAGUAAUUUAUGGUUUGGAUGAACCUCACAGCAACCCAAGCCAAUGCUGUAACAGGCACUGUCUCUCUCAAACCUCAAGAAUUGCUAUCUAUGAAAACCUCAGUGGGAAGACUGUGGGGAAGAGACGGAAGCCAGAGAUCAAGACAGUCUGAACCCAUGCGAGCACUUGUGCAUGUUUUCAUUGCAUUUGUGUCAGUUGGCUGCUUUCAACUGCAAGUAACAAAACAAACAGUGCUUGUGCCUAAUGACUUCAAUUCUUACUUGAGUCUAGAAAUAGGUGAUCCUCAGGGUUGGGUUGGCAGCUCACUGUUGCUUUCAAGAACCCAUCUCUUUUCAUCUUUGGCAUUUUUACCUUCCUCUAUUUGUUAGCUUUCAGCUUCAGCUUUGGUCACCAACCUACUCAUGAUAUUGCUACCACAGCUCCAGGCAGCACGCCUCGCAUGGCAGCAUCCAAAGAAAAAGAGAGGAAAUCAAGGCAGAGAAAGUUGAAAUAACUUGCCCAAAGGCACCCAACUGCUAAGUGGUGACUCCAGAUUCAAACCCAAGCAUUCUGACUCCAAGGAAUAGAAGCCCUACCCAACUCAUAGCACUUGCAUUUCCUACUUUUUAGAAAAUGAAACCCUGAGUCUGUAUGCCUGGAGUCUAUAUAUAAGGCUUCUCCUGGAAAACACUUGCUGGCUCACAUGCCCCCUUGACUCCUACACUCAGCUUCCCAGGAGGAAAUGGGGAGCCUCUGAACAACCAUGAGCUGGACAGGAACAAGGAACCUGACUGCCUUCUUGGAAACUGUUACCUU